UGGUUAACUCUGAACACUAUAAUUAGUCAAUUCCUUUUCUUUUAAACAGCAAAACCUUUACUGAAACAUUUAGAAAUUUAUAUACGACACUUUCAAACCAGUACUGUGAUCUACAUCUUCAAAUAUAAGAAAACUACACCACUAAUACUGACUUAACAUUUGCAAAGCUUCGGAGUCUUCAGCACGGCAUUUAAAUUAAAAUAUGUUCUCGUUAUAUCAUGUAUUAUAAUAUCUUUUAACUUUUAGUUCCUAUACGUAAGUUAUGGGCUUUACUAAAAUGUUUAUGUGAUCAAAUAUUCAUAAUUUGCUCUUAAUUUCAUGUUCCAUUUCAUUUGUAGUUCAGCUAUUUGUGAAAUAUUUGAAAAGCCCAGCUUAAUGCACGUCCUAAUAUGAAUAAUAUAAAAUAUGUGGAAUAAUGACUGUGUAAAUCUCUGCACAGUAUGACAUUAUGAGUGAUUUUGAGUCAGUCAUCUGUCUUGGCACCAGCUGCAGUUCCAGCAUGACCAACUGGAGUCAAAGUCAAUGGCAGGCUGGAGUUCAUCUUAUCAAAAAGUCAUAAAGCAGAGAGUAGCCUGUCAUUUUAGGAGACACGCUUUUCCUAAAUAGGAACUUAUUGAUAUGCUGUAUACACACAGAAUGAACUUUGAACAGUGUGCCUAUGAUGACGUGACUGAUAAACACACAUUAAUGUGGGAUGGAGGGUUAGAGAUAAACCUCAGGCCAUGUUUAAUUUCGACAGUAGACCCAAGGAAGCCUGCAUGCUGCUGCUCUUCUUCUUUUGUUUGAUUGUAUUGCAAAGACUGGAUUAACAUCUCCUCCUGAGUUCACAAGACCAUGACUAUCGGCAGGAGCUCCAGAAAGAACAAGGCCCCUCAUUCUCCUCCUUUCCUGGACAAGGCUAAUGGAUUCUAUGGGCGCUUGGAUGAGAUGUUUGGAGACGAUGUACAGAUGGAGAGAGAGACCAUAGAAGAACAGAUAGGAACCUUAAACAGGAGCACCCAAGACAAUAGUACAGCUCCAGGCUGGAUAGAAGAAGAUGACCAUGUGGUUGAUUUUAACCAGGGUAUGAUGGAUGACGAUGGGACCACUUUACUGAAGAGAAAGCCCAGCAGACUGAGUCGCCGCUGGAGCAGGAUGAGCUCCAGGAAGGGAAAGUAUGACAAAUUUCCCUCAGAAAAAGAACUUGGUAAUGAGACCAACAAGCCCACCUCUGUAGAUCUAAACCCAGAGGUGCCACCAGCAACCCAAACCCUGGAAAACAGCAAAGAACCAGAACCAACACUGAUCCAUUUCUCUGUGAGGGAGCAUACUGAUGACCAGACUCUGAUAUCAGGGAAGAAAGAAGGAGAACGGGAAAUGGAAGACACAAGAAAAGAGAAGAAGACAGAAGGCAAACUGAAUGGAGAGUCAAUGGAAGUUGUAAAGAGGAACAAUCUCAAGAAUUAUCGCAAGGCCGUGGACAGAGCUUUCCGUAGAGGAUGGGAGACUUUUGUUGCCAAUCUGUACAGUGUGACACUGACACCUAUAUCAUCAACCUCCUCUUCAUCCACACCAUCAGACAAAACUGAAUUGAACAGGAAUCGUGUUUUAGCAGAAUUCAGAUAACAGUAGAACAGACUUAUUUGUAUUUUCAAAUUGAUGAGUAAUUUCAUUUAUUAAUUUAAAUGUGCUCAAAUAUUUAAUAUGCAUCGUUGUUCUUGCAUAAAACGGAUAACCAUCAAUCUUGUUUUAAACUGAUCAUUAUGUAACCUGACAUGAAAGGUCAAUAUUUGAACUUUUUAUCAGUGUAUAAAUUUGUUAUCACAGUGCUAACUAAAGAGGCGUCUACCUGAUCUUUGUUCCCUUGUGAGGAAACAUGAGGCCUAUAAUUAUCCAAUGUGGACAGAUCUUUUUUAUUUGAUGUGAUAAUGUUUUUGAGCUGUGAACAGUAGCAGAGUUCCUGUACUUUGGCGAUGAACGUGUAUUACAGGUUUUGUACCAAAGGGUUAACUCUUAAAAAAAAAAACUGGGAGCUCACGGAUUUUUUUUUUUUAAUGUCAUCAACAGGUAACAUCACUGGCAGUGAAGUAUAUAAAUAACUGAGCCGAGAGAUGAAAUGAAGAUGGCUUUUGUUUUCUUGGGACUUAUUUAUCUUGUCUAACUUAGUUUGCUGAACCCAGUUUCCUAAUGUUAUGUAGGAGAAUUUUUAUUUGUAGCGCCUUUUUUUAUCUGCAUUGUGACAUCAAAGCAGUGCUUAUAAUAAAAAGGAAAAGUGAGAAAAAAGUCAAUCUGUUUGGCUUGAUUCUGUUCUACUGAACAAAAGUGUUGUAGUGUUGUUUCCCAUACGGCAAAAAAUAUUUUUUUGUGACGACAUAUACCAAAAUAUAUAGAUAUAUGCCAAAUAUAGCGACGCUCAAUGAAAUACAUUUUUUAAAUAUAUAUAUAUAUAUAUAUAGUGUGUGUGUGUGUGUGUGUGUGUGUAUAUAUAUAUAUAUAUAUAUAUAUAUAUAUAUACAUA
rnacentral:lncRNA from 1 species